rnacentral:rRNA from 1 species
UACGUAGGGUGCGAGCGUUAAUCGGAAUUACUGGGCGUAAAGGGUGCGUAGGCGGACUAUUAAGUCAGUGGUGAAAGCCUGCAGCUUAACUGCAGAAUUGCCAUUGAUACUGAUGGUCUUGAGUACAAUUGAGGUGGGCGGAACGGGUCAUGUAGCGGUGAAAUGCAUAGAUAUGACCCGGAACACCGAUUGCGAAGGCAGCCCACUAAGCAAUGAUUGACGCUGAGGCACGAAAGCGUGGGGAUCAAACAGG